UGGGGAAUAUUGCACAAUGGAGGGAACUCUGAUGCAGCGACGCCGCGUGAGUGAUGAAGGAAUUCGUUUCGUAAAACUCUGUUCUAUGGGAAGAAAAGGACUGUACCAUAGGAGAAAGCUCCGGCUAAAUACGUGCCAGCAGCCGCGGUAAUACGUAUGGAGCGAGCGUUGUCCGGAAUUAUUGGGCGUAAAGGGUGCGCAGGCGGCUUUACAAGUUGGAUGUGAAAUAUUGUGGCUCAACCACAAACGUGCAUCCAAAACUGCAAAGCUGGAGGUAAGGAGAGGUAAGUGGAAUUCCUGGUGUAGCGGUGGAAUGCGUAGAUAUCAGGAGGAAUACCGGUGGCGAAGGCGACUUACUGGACUUAAACUGACGCUCAGGCACGAAAGCGUGGGGAGCAAACAGG
rnacentral:rRNA from 1 species